AUUGAACGCUGGCGGCAGGCCUAACACAUGCAAGUCGAGCGGAUGAAGGGAGCUUGCUCCUGGAUUCAGCGGCGGACGGGUGAGUAAUGCCUAGGAAUCUGCCUGGUAGUGGGGGCUAACGUCCGGAAACGGGCGCUAAUACCGCAUACGUCCUUAGUGAGAAAGGGGGGGAUCUUCGGACCUCACGCUAUUAGAUGAGCCUAGGUCGGAUUAGCUAGUUGGUGGGGUAAAGGCCUACCAAGGCGACGAUCCGUAACUGGUCUGAGAGGAUGAUCAGUCACACUGGAACUGAGACACGGUCCAGACUCCUACGGGAGGCAGCAGUGGGGAAUAUUGGACAAUGGGCGAAAGCCUGAUCCAGCCAUGCCGCGUGUGUGAAGAAGGUCUUCGGAUUGUAAAGCACUUUAAGUUGGGAGGAAGGGCAGUAAGUUAAUACCUUGCUGUUUUGACGUUACCAACAGAAUAAGCAACGGCUAACUUCGUG
rnacentral:rRNA from 1 species